CCUACGGGUGGCAGCAGUGAGGAAUAUUGGUCAAUGGGCGUAAGCCUGAACCAGCCAAGUCGCGUGAGGGAUGAAGGUUCUAUGGAUCGUAAACCUCUUUUAUAAGGGAAUAAAGUGUGGGACGUGUCCUGUUUUGUAUGUACCUUAUGAAUAAGGAUCGGCUAACUCCGUGCCAGCAGCCGCGGUAAUACGGAGGAUCCGAGCGUUAUCCGGAUUUAUUGGGUUUAAAGGGGGCGUAGGCGGCCUUUUAAGUCAGCGGUGAAAGUCCGGGGCUCAACCAUAGAAUUGCCGUUGAAACUGGAAGGCUUGAGUAUGUUAGAGGCAGGCGGAAUUCGUGGUGUAGCGGUGAAAUGCUUAGAUAUCACGCGGAACCCCGAUUGCGAAGGCAGCCUGCCAGGCCAUGACUGACGCUGAUGCACGAAGGCGUGGGGAUCAAACAGGAUUAGAUACCCGUGUAGUC
rnacentral:rRNA from 1 species